GGAGCCGUUAAACUUUCAGUAAAACUGGCAUUGAGCUUGGGAGGUAGCUUCUAGAAGGUUACUUUUGGACUUCAUGUCUUUGGAUCUUCUUUCGAUAUCUUUUCCAUAGAUGAUAUCAAUUUAUUACCAUCCAAAACCCAACUUGACAGUUGGUGAACAAGUAUAGUUCAGCUGAUCCACUCCAAGUAGAAGUUUGCUCGAAGUAGGGGUAUAUGACCUAUGAACAGAAGAGACUAGAGGUUGCCAGAUUUGAUCCAGUGGA
rnacentral:lncRNA from 1 species